UGGCGCGAUAGAGGCCAUCAUCAACAAUGCGCGCAUAAUCCGGGAGCAGCUCAAUAAGGGCCAUGAACUUCUGCAGCUUGAGAUACGGAUCCGGCGCCACCUCCGCGAGAUAGCCGUCCAUGAGCCUCCCGACCUUGAGCACCGAUCCGUGGCUGGGAGACUUGAGGCCGUCGGAGUCGUACCCGCAGGGGGGAGACGACAGGUCCCCCGAGCUAUCCUCAUCAAUCCUCUGCAAGAAGCUGAGCAGUAUGCGGUGGACGGUGUCGACGUCGAACAUGGAGUCGCUGGUCUGCGCGGCGGGGACGAGCAGGUCGUCGAGCGCCGCCAUCUCCAGGCGCAUCCCGACCCGGCGCUCGAGCUCGAUCCGGCAGUCGAGGCUGGCGUCGACCUCGACGGCGACCCGCAGCAUGCCGAACAGGAAGGAGAGCGUGACGGCCGCGACGUUCUCCGUGGCAAGCACGUCGACGAGCGUCUCGACGACCAUCCGCUGGCCGUCGCCGACGAACGGGCCCGAUCCGUCCCAGCAGGCGCGCUGGCGCCGCCGCUGCUCCACGUCCACGCCCUUGAGCCACGUCUGCGCGUAGUGCGCCACGGACGCGCCGAUGGUCUCCGGCCGGACCCCGCUCCGCCGCAUCGCGGCGAUGACGCGGCGGUAGUGGUCGAUCCGGAGCAAGGAGAGGUCCUCCACCCACCAGUCCUCCCGGCAGCGCGCGGCGGCGGCGCAGUCGCACGUCUCCAGGUGCGCCGCCAGGCCGGAGACCAGCUGCUCCUUGCCCGCGCUGGCGGCGACGGCGUCGACGCAGCGGGCCACCAGCCCGACCUGCUCCGCCACGGGCCCGCCGUCGUCGCACCUGCGCAGCACCUCCAGCGCCCCGUCCAGGCUCCGCAGCGCCACCUCGGCCAGGUACGCCUCCGCCCGCGCCACCAGGUUGUCCGCGUGCUGGUCCUCCGUCAUCUCCAGGUACUCCGCCACGCACCGCAGCUGCGCCACGUUCGCCGCGGUUAUCUCGAAGUUUGUGCCGUAGCAGAACUUGGCGGCCAGCUCGAACGCGUAGGCUCCCCCCGGCACGUUCGCCAGCUCCAGCUUCUGGUGGCCGUCUGCGUCCUUGCUGUUGGAGCUGGAGGAGUCCGCCAACAUCUUGCGUAUCCGCCCGCACCGGGACACCAGAGGGAACUGCAAACAAACAAAAAAAACGGCACAUUUCAUUCAUUCAUUCAUUAAGCUCUUGUUGCUUCCCAAAGGCAAAACAGUUGCACCGACCUUGUGCAGCAGGAACGACUGGCCGUCCACCGACACCGUCACGUCCUCAGCGACGUCUGAGAAUAUCCUGCACGAACCACAAGCAACAGGGGCAACGCAAUGCCCGCCCACAGGAGCGUUAGACAGGACAGCGGUGCCGAAUCGGUGGGCCGUAGGAGUGAGAGCUAGAGAGGUGCCGAAGCGGAAUGGCGAAGAGAUCUAGAGAGAAGGGAAGACUAGCGCCCGCACCGGCACCGGCACCGGCACCGGCACCGCAAGCUAUCGCUGUUGCUUUUUCGCCCAGGUAUGUCGACAAUGCAAUGCGAUGCAAAGGAAAUGGAAAGGCGGCGAGGGGAGGUAGAGGUAGAGGUAGAGAGGUGGGGGGUGGCCUGACCUCCUGUGGCUGACGGCGGUGGCGCCGCAGAGCCGCGGCGACGUGGCGGUGGUGCUGGUGGAGAAGGGGAACAGCGCGGCGGCGUCGCUGCCCAUCCCCAUUGCCCUCCUCGUCGUACGUCCUCUUCUCUCUCUCUCUCUCUCUCUCUCCUCUCUCUCUCUCUCUCUCUCUCUCUCUCUCUCUCUCUGAAAUGCUCUCAGCGGUGGAGGUCUGGUCUGGUCUGGAG
rnacentral:misc_RNA from 1 species